UACGUAGGGUGCAAGCGUGUCCGGAAUUAUUGGGCGUAAAGAGCUCGUAGGCGGUUUGUCGCGUCUGCUGUGAAAACCCGAGGCUCAACCUCGGGCCUGCAGUGGGUACGGGCAGACUAGAGUGCGGUAAGGGAGAUUGGAAUUCCUGGUGUAGCGGUGGAAUGCGCAGAUAUCAGGAGGAACACCAAUGGCGAAGGCAGAUCUCUGGGCCGUAACUGACGCUGAGGAGCGAAAGCAUGGGGAGCGAACAGG
rnacentral:rRNA from 1 species